UACGGAGGGUGCAAGCGUUAUCCGGAUUCACUGGGCUUAAAGGGUGCGUAGGCGGAUUGGUAAGUCCGUGGUGAAAUCUCUAAGCUUAACUUGGAAACUGCCAUGGAUACUAUUAGUCUUGAAUAUUGUGGAGGUUAGCGGAAUAUGUCAUGUAGCGGUGAAAUGCAUAGAUAUGACAUAGAACACCAAUUGCGAAGGCAGCUGGCUACACAAAUAUUGACGCUGAUGCACGGAAGCGUGGGGAUCAAACAGG
rnacentral:rRNA from 1 species